AGAGUUUGAUCCUGGCUCAGGAUGAACGCUAGCUACAGGCUUAACACAUGCAAGUCGAGGGGCAGCAUGUUGGUUGCUUGCAACCAAUGAUGGCGACCGGCGCACGGGUGAGUAACGCGUAUCCAACCUACCCUUGUCCAUCGGAUAACCCGUCGAAAGGCGGCCUAACACGAUAUGCGGUUCUCAGCAGGCAUCUAACGAGAACGAAAUGUGAAGGAGAAGGAUGGGGAUGCGUCUGAUUAGCUUGUUGGCGGGGUAACGCCACAGGCGACGAUCAGUAGGGUCUGAGAGGAAGGUCCCCANAUUGGAACUGAGACACGGUCCAAACUCCUACGGGAGCA
rnacentral:rRNA from 1 species